rnacentral:rRNA from 1 species
UACGGAGGAUGCGAGCGUUAUCCGGAUUUAUUGGGUUUAAAGGGUGCGCUGGCGGCACGGCAAGCCGGCGGUCAAAUCGCGGGGCUCAACCCCGCCCAGCCGUCGGAACUGCCGGGCUAGAGUGGGCGAGAAGUGCGCGGAAUGCGUGGUGUAGCGGUGAAAUGCAUAGAUAUCACGCAGAACUCCGAUUGCGAAGGCAGCGCACCGGCGCCCUACUGACGCUCAGGCACGAAAGCGUGGGUAUCGAACAGG